rnacentral:rRNA from 1 species
UACGUAGGGUGCGAGCGUUAAUCGGAAUUACUGGGCGUAAAGCGUGCGCAGGCGGUUUUGUAAGCCAGAUGUGAAAGCCCCGGGCUCAACCUGGGAAUGGCAUUUGGGACUGCAAGGCUUGAGUGCGGCAGAGGAGACUGGAAUUCCUGGUGUAGCAGUGAAAUGCGUAGAUAUCAGGAGGAAUACCGAUGGCGAAGGCAGGUCUCGU